GAUGAACGCUGGCGGCGUGCCUAAUACAUGCAAGUCGAGCGAACGGACGAGAAGCUUGCUUUUCUGAUGUUAGCGGCGGACGGGUGAGUAACACGUGGAUAACCGACCUAUAAGACUGGGAUAACUUCGGGAAACCGGAGCUAAUACCGGAUAAUAUUUUGAACCGCAUGGUUCAAAAGUGAAAGACGGUCUUGCUGUCACUAAUAGAUGGAUCCGCGCUGCAUUAGCUAGUUGGUAAGGUAACGGCUUACCAAGGCAACGAUGCGUAGCCGACCUGAGAGGAUGAUCGGCCACACUGGAACUGAGACACGGUCCAGACUCCUACGGGAGGCAGCAGUAGGGAAUCUUCCGCAAUGGGCGAAAGCCUGACGGAGCAACGCCGCGUGAGUGAUGAAGGUCUUCGGAUCGUAAAGCUCUGUUAUUAGGGAAGAACAUAUGUGUAAGUAACUGUGCACAUCUUGACGGUACCUAAUCAGAAAGCCACGGCUAACUACGUG
rnacentral:rRNA from 1 species